rnacentral:rRNA from 1 species
CAGCCGCCGCGGUAAUACGGAGGGGGCUAGCGUUGUUCGGAAUUACUGGGCGUAAAGCGCACGUAGGCGGCUUGGUAAGUUAGAGGUGAAAGCCCGGAGCCCAACUCCGGAAUUGCCUUUAAGACUGCCGAGCUAGUAGGUGAGAGAGGUAAGUGGAAUUCCGAGUGUAGAGGUGAAAUUCGUAGAUAUUCGGAAGAACACCAGUGGCGAAGGCGGCUUACUGGCUCAUUCUAGACGCUGAGGUGCGAAAGCGUGGGGAGCAAACAGGAUUAGAUACCCCCGUAGUCCCUGUCUCUUAUAA